AACGAACGCUGGCGGCAGGCCUAACACAUGCAAGUCGAGCGGACCCUUCGGGGUUAGCGGCGGACGGGGGAGUAACGCGUGGGGAUAUGCCCUUCUCUACGGAAUAGUCCUGGGAAAUUGGGGUUAAUACCGUAGACGACCUCUGGGGGAGAGAUUUAUCGGGGAAGGAUUAGCCCGCGUUGUUUUAGGUAGUUGGGGGGGUAAUGGCCAACGAAGCCGACGAUCCAUAGUUGGUUUGUGAGGAUGCACAGCCGCACUGGGACUGAGACAAGGCCCAGACUCCAGGGAGAGGUGGCGGAGGGGGAUCUAAGGCAGUGGGGGCGACGCUGAGAUGGCCCGGCCGCGAUGACGAUCAAGGCGUUAGGAUCGUAAAGCUCUAUCAGCUAGGCAGAUAAUGACGGUACCUACAGAAGAAGCCCCGGCUAACUACGUG
rnacentral:rRNA from 1 species